GACGAACGCUGGCGGCGUGCUUAACACAUGCAAGUCGAACGGAAAGGCCCUGCUUUUGUGGGGUGCUCGAGUGGCGAACGGGUGAGUAACACGUGAGUAACCUGCCCUUGACUUUGGGAUAACUUCAGGAAACUGGGGCUAAUACCGGAUAGGAGCUCCUGCUGCAUGGUGGGGGUUGGAAAGUUUCGGCGGUUGGGGAUGGACUCGCGGCUUAUCAGCUUGUUGGUGGGGUAGUGGCUUACCAAGGCUUUGACGGGUAGCCGGACUGAGAGGGUGACCGGCCUCAUUGGGACUGAGAUACGGACCAGACUGCUACGGGAGGCAACAGGGGAGAAUAUUGCACAAUGAGCGGAAGCCUGAUGCAGCAACGCCGCGUGCGGGAUGACGGCCUUCGGGUGGUAAACCGCUUUCGCCUGUGACGAAGCGUGAGUGACGGUAAUGAAUAAAGAAGCACCGGCUAACUACGUG
rnacentral:rRNA from 1 species